UACGGAGGGUCCAAGCGUUAUCCGGAUUUAUUGGGCUUAAAGGGCGCGUAGGCGGCUCAUGAAGGCUGUGGUGAAAGUCCGGGGCUCAACCUCGGAUCGGCCGUGGCGACUCGUGGGCUGGAGCACUGUAGAGGCGGGUGGAAUUCCGGGUGUAGCGGUGGAAUGCGUAGAGAUGCGGAAGAACACCAGUGGCGAAGGCGGCCCGCUGGGCAGUGGCUGACGCUGAGGCGCGACAGCGUGGGGAGCAAACAGG
rnacentral:rRNA from 1 species